GCUGGGCGCAGUGGUGCACGCCUGUAAUCCCAGUAGCUUGGGAGGCUGAGGCAGGAGGAUCUCGAGUUCAAAAUCAGCCUCAGCAACAGCAAGGUGCUAAGCAACUCAAUGAGACUCUGUCUCUA
rnacentral:sRNA from 1 species